rnacentral:rRNA from 1 species
UGAGUUUGAUCCUGGCUCAGAACGAACGCUGGCGGCGUGCUUAAUACAUGCAAGUCGAACGAGGACGGAUUUAUCCGAGCCGAGUGGCGAACGGGUGAGUAACACGUGACUAAUCCACCCUUGGGAGGGGGACAACCUGGGGAAACCCGGGCUAAUACCGCGUACGGCGUCUCUGUCGCAUGGCUAUGACGUCAAAGAUGGCCUCUGGUUCACGCCAUCGCCCAGGGAGGAGGUCGCGGCGUAUCAGCUUGUUGGUGAGGUAACGGCUCACCAAGGCGACGACGCGUAGCGGGUCUGAGAGGACGAUCCGUCACAUUGGGACUGAGAUACGGCCCGGACUUCUACGGAAGGCAGCAGUAGGGAAUAUUGCGCAAUGGUCGAAAGACUGACGCAGCGACGCCGCGUGUGGGAGGAAGCCUCUCGGGGUGUAAACCACUGUCAGGUGGGAAGAAACCUGCCGCUUGAACAGAGCGUGCAGCUGACGGUACCAUCAGAGGAAGCGCCGGCUAACUCCGUGCCAGCAGCCGCGGUGAGACGGAGGGCGCAAGCGUUGUUCGGAAUUACUGGGCGUAAAGCGCGGGCAGGUGGUCCAUUAAGUCUUCUGUGAAACUCCGGGGCUCAACCCCGGACAUGCAGGAGAUACUGGUGGACUAGAGACCGGUAGAGGCUAGUGGAAUUCCUGGUGUAGCGGUGGAAUGUGUAGAUAUCAGGAAGAACACCAGUGGCGAAGGCGGCUAGCUGGGCCGUGUCUGACACUCAUCCGCGAAAGCGUGGGGAGCAAACAGGAUUAGAUACCCUGGUAGUCCACGCCGUAAACGAUGGGCACUARGUGCCGGGUCUCUUA